GACGAACGCUGGCGGCGUGCUUAACACAUGCAAGUCGAACGGAAAGGCCCUGCUUUUGUGGGGUGCUCGAUUGGCGAACGGGUGAGUAACACGUGAGUAACCUGCCCUUGACUUUGGGAUAACUUCAGGAAACUGGGGCUAAUACCGGAUAUGAGCUCCUGCUGCAUGGUGGGGGUUGGAAAGUUUCGGCGGUUGGGGAUGGACUCGCCGCUUAUCAGCUUGUUGGUGGGGUAGUGGCUUACCAAGGCUUUGACGGGUAGCCGGCCUGAGAGGGUGACCGGCCACGUUGGGCCUGAGAUACGGCCCAGCCUCCUACGGGAGGCAGCAGUGGGGAAUAUUGCACAAUGGGCGGAAGCCUGAUGCAGCAACGCCGCGUGCGGGAUGCCGGCCUUCGGGUUGUAAACCGCUUUCGACUGAGACGAAGCGUGAGUGACGGUAAUGGGUAAAGAAGCACCGGCUAACUACGUG
rnacentral:rRNA from 1 species